rnacentral:tRNA from 1 species
AGGACAGUAGUUAAAUAUAACACUUGAUUUGCAUUCAAGAAGUGUUGAGUCAAUAAUUCAACCUGUCUUA